UUCGCCCUUAGAGUUUGAUCCUGGCUCAGGACGAACGCUGGCGGCGCGCCUAACACAUGCAAGUCGAACGAGCGAGAGAGAGCUUGCUUUCUCGAGCGAGUGGCGAACGGGUGAGUAACGCGUGAGGAACCUGCCUCAAAGAGGGGGACAACAGUUGGAAACGACUGCUAAUACCGCAUAAGCCCACGGUGCCGCAUGGCACAGAGGGAAAAGGAGCAAUCCGCUUUGAGAUGGCCUCGCGUCCGAUUAGCUAGUUGGUGAGGUAAUGGCCCACCAAGGCGACGAUCGGUAGCCGGACUGAGAGGUUGAACGGCCACAUUGGGACUGAGACACGGCCCAGACUCCUACGGGAGGCAGCAGUGGGGAAUAUUGCACAAUGGGGGAAACCCUGAUGCAGCGACGCCGCGUGGAGGAAGAAGGUCUUCGGAUUGUAAACUCCUGUUGUUGGGGAAGAUAAUGACGGUACCCAACAAGGAAGUGACGGCUAACUACGUGCCAGCAGCCGCGGUAAAACGUAGGUCACAAGCGUUGUCCGGAAUUACUGGGUGUAAAGGGAGCGCAGGCGGGAAGACAAGUUGGAAGUGAAAUCCAUGGGCUCAACCCAUGAACUGCUUUCAAAACUGUUUUUCUUGAGUAGUGCAGAGGUAGGCGGAAUUCCCGGUGCAGCGGUGGAAUGCGUAGAUAUCGGGAGGAACACCAGUGGCGAAGGCGGCCUACUGGGCACCAACUGACGCUGAGGCUCGAAAGUGUGGGUAGCAAACAGGAUUAGAUACCCUGGUAGUCCACACUGUAAACGAUGAUUACUAGGUGUUGGAGGAUUGACCCCUUCAGUGCCGCAGUUAACACAAUAAGUAAUCCACCUGGGGAGUACGACCGCAAGGUUGAAACUCAAAGGAAUUGACGGGGGCCCGCACAAGCAGUGGAGUAUGUGGUUUAAUUCGACGCAACGCGAAGAACCUUACCAAGUCUUGACAUCCCUUGACAGGCAUAGAAAUAUGUAAUCUCUUCGGAGCAAGGAGACAGGUGGUGCAUGGUUGUCGUCAGCUCGUGUCGUGAGAUGUUGGGUUAAGUCCCGCAACGAGCGCAACCCUUGCUAUUAGUUGCUACGCAAGAGCACUCUAAUAGGACUGCCGUUGACAAAACGGAGGAAGGUGGGGACGACGUCAAAUCAUCAUGCCCCUUAUGACCUGGGCUACACACGUACUACAAUGGAUGUUAACAGAGGGAAGCAAGACAGCGAUGUGGAGCAAACCCCUAAAAACAUUCUCAGUUCAGAUUGCAGGCUGCAACCCGCCUGCAUGAAGAUGGAAUUGCUAGUAAUCGCGGAUCAGCAUGCCGCGGUGAAUACGUUCCCGGGCCUUGCACACACCGCCCGUCA
rnacentral:rRNA from 1 species